UCGGGAAUUUUGGGCAAUGGGCGAAAGCCUGACCCAGCAACGCCGCGUGAAGGAUGAAGUAUUUCGGUAUGUAAACUUCGAAAGAAUGGGAAGAAUCAAUGACGGUACCAUUUAUAAGGUCCGGCUAACUACGUGCCAGCAGCCGCGGUAAUACGUAGGGACCAAGCGUUGUUCGGAUUUACUGGGCGUAAAGGGCGCGUAGGCGGCUUAACAAGUCACUUGUGAAAUCUCCGGGCUUAACUCGGAACGGCCAAGUGAAACUGUCAAGCUAGAGUGCAGAAGGGGCAAUCGGAAUUCUUGGUGUAGCGGUGAAAUGCGUAGAUAUCAAGAGGAACACCUGAGGUGAAGACGGGUUGCUGGGCUGACACUGACGCUGAGGCGCGAAAGCCAGGGGAGCAAACGG
rnacentral:rRNA from 1 species